CAGUCGCCACGGGAAUACGAGGGGGGCAAGCGUUGUUCGGAAUUACUGGGCGUAAAGCGUGCGUAGGCGGUUUGUUAAGUCUGCUGUGAAAUCCCCGGGCUCAACCUGGGAAUGGCAGUGGAUACUGGCAAGCUAGAGUGUGUCAGAGGAUGGUGGAAUUCCCGGUGUAGCGGUGAAAUGCGUAGAUAUCAGGAGGAACACCUGUGGCGAAAGCGGCUCACUGGACCACAACCGACGCUGAGGCGCGAAAGCUAGGGGAGCAAACAGGAUUAGAGACCCGAGUAGUCCCUGUCUCUUAUAC
rnacentral:rRNA from 1 species